GUGUGUGAUCAUACCAGCACUAAUGCAAUGGAUUCGAUUGGAACUCCGAAGUUAAGCAUGCUUGGACGAUGUAUAAUAGUUUUGCAUAUU
rnacentral:rRNA from 1 species